UCCUGGCUCAGGAUGAACGCUAGCUACAGGCUUAACACAUGCAAGUCGAGGGGCAUCAGGUAUCUAGCUUGCUAGAUAUGCUGGCGACCGGCGCACGGGUGCGUAACACGUAUCCAAUCUACCCAUGGCUCGGGGAUAGCCUUUCGAAAGAAAGAUUAAUACCCGAUGGUCUCACCGUAAGACAUCUUUAGGUGAGUAAAGAUUUAUCGGCGAUGGAUGAGGAUGCGUCCGAUUAGGUAGUAGGCGGGGCAACGGCCCACCUAGCCUUCGAUCGUAGGGGUUCUGAGAGGAAGGUCCCCCACACUGGAACUGAGACACGGUCCAGACUCCUACGGGAGGCAGCAGUGAGGAAUAUUGGUCAAUGGGCGUGAGCCUGAACCAGCCAAGUAGCGUGAGGGAUGACGGCCCUACGGGUUGUAAACCUCUUUUGUUUGGGAAUAAAGGUCCCCACGUGUGGGGCUUUGCAUGUACCUUACGAAUAAGCAUCGGCUAAUUCCGUGCC
rnacentral:rRNA from 1 species